rnacentral:rRNA from 1 species
CUACGGGGCGCACCAGUGAGGAAUAUUGCACAAUGGGGGGAACCCUGAUGCAGCAACGCCGCGUGGAGGAUGACGCAUUUCGGUGUGUAAACUCCUUUUAUAUGUCAAGAAAAUGACGGUAGCAUAUGAAUAAGCACCGGCUAACUCCGUGCCAGCAGCCGCGCUAAUACGGAGGGUGCAAGCGUUACUCGGAAUCACUGGGCGUAAAGGACGCGUAGGCGGGCUUGUAAGUCAGGUGCGAAAUCCUACAGCUUAACUGUAGAACUGCACUUGAAACUACGAGCCUAGAGUAUGGGAGGGGCAGAUGGAAUUAGUGGUGUAGGGGUAAAAUCCGUAGAUAUCACUAGGAAUACCUAAAGCGAAGGCGAUCUGCUGGAACAUAACUGACGCUAAGGCGUGAAAGCGUGGGGAGCAAACAGGAUUAGAUACCCGGGUAGUC